AUUGAACGCUGGCGGCAGGCCUAACACAUGCAAGUCGAGCGGAUGAAGGGAGCUUGCUCCUGGAUUCAGCGGCGGACGGGUGAGUAAUGCCUAGGAAUCUGCCUGGUAGUGGGGGAUAACGUCCGGAAACGGGCGCUAAUACCGCAUACGUCCUGAGGGAGAAAGUGGGGGAUCUUCGGACCUCACGCUAUCAGAUGAGCCUAGGUCGGAUUAGCUAGUUGGUGGGGUAAAGGCCUACCAAGGCGACGAUCCGUAACUGGUCUGAGAGGAGGAUCAGUCACACUGGAACUGAGACACGGUCCAGACUCCUACGGGAGGCAGCAGUGGGGAAUAUUGGACAAUGGGCGAAAGCCUGAUCCAGCCAUGCCGCGUGUGUGAAGAAGGGCUGCGGAUUGUAAAGCACUUUAAGUUGGGAGGAAGGGCAGUAAGUUAAUACCUUGCUGUUUUGACGUUACCAACAGAAUAAGCACCGGCUAACUUCGG
rnacentral:rRNA from 1 species